AAAAGCGAAGGGAUUUCCCAUAUGACGUCACAGCUUUUUGGGAAAUCCCCGAGCAGACGUCAAAAUGUCAAGCUCAAGCGAGAUGGCGACCGCAGAAAAGAAAGCGAGAAAAGUCAACUGGACUCGGAACGAGAUGGAUUGUUUAGUUGAUGAGGUGGAGAACCAUAAGUCUGUUUUAUUUAGCUCAUUUUCAUCCGUUGUUACCAACAGCAAGAAGCAACAGAUUUGGAAGGACAUAUCAAACAGAGUCAGUGCUUGCGGGUCCUCUAUCCGCUCAUCAGAGGAUGUGAAAAAAAAAUGGACCACUCUAAAGAGCGACACAAGGAGGGAAAGCCACUAGCCUAAAGAAGGCUAUAUUCCAGACAGGCGGAGGGCCACCACCCAUCUCCACUGAGUGACUUUGAGUAUAAGGUGGUGUCCCUCAUUCCAUCUGUUCAAAUCAAUGGUUGCACAGGGGGCUGGAUAGUGAAGACAUGUCAGCCUUCUCAGGAUUGGGCAGUGUGUUGUGUGAUGCAGCUGUUCCCUCGACUUCAAGUAGCAGCAACAAUUUGAAUGUCAACUCUGCCCGGACAUCACCUAUCCUACUGUCCUGCACUCCACCUCGACAAGCAGCACCACCAACACCGCAUGAUCCACCAGCAUCGUUCCAAUUGUCACCAGUCAUAGUUUCAAGACCUACGAGUAAGAAACAAAGACAAAAGUUCAUACACAUGAAGACAGUGCAGCCCAGGCAGCUGAAGUGGUCCAGCUUGAGAGGGAGAA